UCAUAAUUAACAUCACACAUUCACGAAUUCGUCCUCCCUAUACUCUCCCUAAAAUUGAGUUCAUCAAGAACUCAUAAUCACUAUCAUUAACAUACACUCUAAAUAUGAAUUCGAUCAAUCUAGUGAGGAUGUCGUCUACAUCAAUCUCUGCUACAAUUACUGGUUUUUUCUGUUGUAAUAGUUUAAAAAAAUGAACCCCCAUCGGUGCAACGGAAUGUAGUGGGACAUCUUAAACUUUGGUCUAUAAAGGCUAUGAUGGCAUUGAAGACAUCGUGGUGCUUAUGUUUGGCUA
rnacentral:lncRNA from 1 species